CGAAACACCUUAAUUGGAUUGUAGAAUAGAACUGCUUUGCUCACACUGGCCGGGUGUUACAGUGCAUGAGAAUGGCUAAUCAUGAGUUUCCAACUGGUACCUUUCUGCUUCUCUUUCUUCUAACCUGCUUCCAUGAUGGAAAUGGACAAGAAGACACCAACCAGACAAUUACUGAAUGUUUGCCGAUUCCUCCUGGACCAAACAAUUGCAGUGAUAGAACAGUUUCUCCACACAAUUACUACAUCCCUUCAUCCAGUACCAACACGACCUUAUCAACUUCAUUGCAACAAAUUAGUGUAAUUUAUUCAAAUAUAGCCAAAAACACAAGGUUGUGUCGAAGUUUUGGUUUUUCUUGGAUGCUAUCUGACAUUUCUUCCAUGCGACCCACGGACAGGAGAUGCAUUGCCAAUUUGCUCAGAGAGUUGUGAGGAACUUGAUCCUGUUAUUGAGAACUGUUUGUCAAGAGUACCAGUUGCCAAUGAUGUAGUGACUCAAAUCAAAGAACUCAAUUGCUCAAGUCCUUCCAGCUACACUAGAGUACACACGUACACGCGCCUGGACCAAUCACAGUGUCUGGAUGGGAUUGAUUUAGUAAUAGGAGAAAUCCAAAGUGUGACUGUAGCACCUACUGUAGCACCUACUUCAGCAGCGACGACUCAAAAUCAAGACGAUGUAACCCAGCAAACAAUUCCAGACUCUGUAACAGGAAUAGUCCAACCUGUGACCGUAAUACCUUCAGUAUCAACAACUACUAUUGUUGUAGCCCAACCAAUAAUUCCAGCAACGGCUCAAACCGUGACAGAAACAACUAUUUCAGUAAUGACUCUAAUUCAAUCUACUGAUGUAGCCCAGCCAACAGUUUCAGGUUUGCGUAUAACAUUAACUCAGGAUCUUAGGGGGAGAAAGCAACUGCUAUGAUAUAUACACUAUAUGUACGGGCAUUGUAAUCUGAGUACAUAAAACAAACCUGCAGUAAUGUAACAUUUUAGUCACAGUUAAUUGUGGUUGAUAACUGCACAUACCUACAAAACGUAGGCCGGCUAUAAUAAGUAUUUCCCACGGCCAUAAUCAGAUUGAUUUCCCACAUCGAUUUAUGCGUUGUGUAGAGCCACUUGAUAUAAUUAUGGUGAGUGUUAAAGUUGUUUCUAACGUAUGAUGAUUAGUUGCUUAUACUCCCCUUCAUGUAUUCUUGAUUCCAAUCAUGUGUCUCUUUCU